rnacentral:lncRNA from 1 species
AGCAUUAGGAUUUUAAACCCUAAACUGAACUUUUCCUUUAGUCAGCAUUAGGGUUUUAAACCUUAAACUGAAUUUUUCCUUUAGUCAGCAUUAGGGUUUUAAACCUUAAACUGAACUCUUUCCUUUCUGUCAGCAUUAGAGUUUUAAACCCUAAACUGAAUUUUUCCAUUUAGUCAGCAUUAGGGUUUUAAACCCUAAACUGAACUUUUCCCCAGUUGGUCGGUAUUAGAGUUUCAACUCUAAACUGAA